GAAAACAGGGGUAGUGGGACUGCCUGCCUGCGAGGCAGUAGGUUCCGGGUUCGAUUCCCGGUGGGUUCC